UCCCCUAGUAACGGCGAGUGAAGCGGGAUGAGCUCAAAUUUGAAAUCUGGCUGGUUUACUAGUCCGAGUUGUAAUUUAAAGAAGCGUUUUCGGUGGCAGCCUGGGUAUAAAUCCUUUGGAAUAGGGUAUCAUAGAGGGUGAGAAUCCCGUCUUUGACCUAGUGCAUGCUACUAUGUGAUACGUUUUCAAAGAGUCGAGUUGUUUGGGAAUGCAGCUCAAAAUGGGUGGUAAAUUUCAUCUAAAGCUAAAUAUUGGCGAGAGACCGAUAGCGAACAAGUACCGUGAGGGAAAGAUGAAAAGAACUUUGAAAAGAGAGUUAAACAGUGCGUGAAAUUGUUGAAAGGGAAACGUUUGACACCAGUCAUGUGGGUGGAAAAUCAGUCUUUUGCAUUGGGGAGUUGUAAAGGUUCGGACCGCAAGGCCGGCUUUUGCUUCAUCUUUGGUGUAAGGGAUGCACUUUUUCAUCUGCAGGUCAACAUCAGUUUCUUUUGCUGGACAAAACUCCGAGAGAAGGUAGCAGCUUAGGCUGUGUUAUAGCUCUGGAGCGAUACAGUGAAGGGGACUGAGGUUUUCGCAGCGUGUGCUCUCGGGCAAGGCUGGAUGGGUGCUAUGGGAUCGUUCGGGGUACAAUGCCUGGCA
rnacentral:rRNA from 1 species